UUGCAUCAUGAUUUACAUUUGAGUGAGUGGCGAACUGGUGAGUAACACGUGGGAAACCUGCCCAGAAGCGGGGGAUAACACCUGGAAACAGAUGCUAAUACCGCAUAACAACUUGGACCGCAUGGUCCGAGCUUGAAAGAUGGCUUCGGCUAUCACUUUUGGAUGGUCCCGCGGCGUAUUAGCUAGAUGGUGGGGUAACGGCUCACCAUGGCAAUGAUACGUAGCCGACCUGAGAGGGUAAUCGGCCACAUUGGGACUGAGACACGGCCCAAACUCCUACGGGAGGCAGCAGUAGGGAAUCUUCCACAAUGGACGAAAGUCUGAUGGAGCAACGCCGCGUGAGUGAAGAAGGGUUUCGGCUCGUAAAACUCUGUUGUUAAAGAAGAACAUAUCUGAGAGUAACUGUUCAGGUAUUGACGGUAUUUAACCAGAAAGCCACGGCUAACUACGUGCCAGCAGCCGCGGUAAUACGUAGGUGGCAAGCGUUGUCCGGAUUUAUUGGGCGUAAAGCGAGCGCAGGCGGUUUUUUAAGUCUGAUGUGAAAGCCUUCGGCUCAACCGAAGAAGUGCAUCGGAAACUGGGAAACUUGAGUGCAGAAGAGGACAGUGGAACUCCAUGUGUAGCGGUGAAAUGCGUAGAUAUAUGGAAGAACACCAGUGGCGAAGGCGGCUGUCUGGUCUGUAACUGACGCUGAGGCUCGAAAGUAUGGGUAGCAAACAGGAUUAGAUACCCUGGUAGUCCAUACCGUAAACGAUGAAUGCUAAGUGUUGGAGGGUUUCCGCCCUUCAGUGCUGCAGCUAACGCAUUAAGCAUUCCGCCUGGGGAGUACGGCCGCAAGGCUGAAACUCAAAGGAAUUGACGGGGGCCCGCACAAGCGGUGGAGCAUGUGGUUUAAUUCGAAGCUACGCGAAGAACCUUACCAGGUCUUGACAUACUAUGCAAAUCUAAGAGAUUAGACGUUCCCUUCGGGGACAUGGAUACAGGUGGUGCAUGGUUGUCGUCAGCUCGUGUCGUGAGAUGUUGGGUUAAGUCCCGCAACGAGCGCAACCCUUAUUAUCAGUUGCCAGCAUUAAGUUGGGCACUCUGGUGAGACUGCCGGUGACAAACCGGAGGAAGGUGGGGAUGACGUCAAAUCAUCAUGCCCCUUAUGACCUGGGCUACACACGUGCUACAAUGGAUGGUACAACGAGUUGCGAACUCGCGAGAGUAAGCUAAUCUCUUAAAGCCAUUCUCAGUUCGGAUUGUAGGCUGCAACUCGCCUACAUGAAGUCGGAAUCGCUAGUAAUCGCGGAUCAGCAUGCCGCGGUGAAUACGUUCCCGGGCCUUGUACACACCGCCCGUCACACCAUGAGAGUUUGUAACA
rnacentral:rRNA from 2 species